rnacentral:rRNA from 1 species
GACGAACGCUGGCGGCGUGCUUAACACAUGCAAGUCGAGCGGUAAGGCCCUUUCGGGGGUACACGAGCGGCGAACGGGUGAGUAACACGUGGGUGACCUGCCCUCAGCUCUGGGGAUAAGCCUGGGAAACCGGGUCUAAUACCGGAUAUGACUCCAUGACGCAUGUUGUGGGGUGGAAAGCCUUGUGCGGCUGAGGAUGGGCCCGCGGCCUAUCAGCUUGUUGGUGGGGUGAUGGCCUACCAAGGCGACGACGGGUAGCCGGCCUGAGAGGGCGACCGGCCACACUGGGACUGAGACACGGCCCAGACUCCUACGGGAGGCAGCAGUGGGGAAUCUUGCGCAAGUGGGCGAAAGCCUGACGCAGCGACGCCGCGU